ACGAACACUCUCUCCCGUCCUCUCUCUCUCGCCUCCUUCACAGACAUCAAAACGCCAGAGACCCCAGCCUGACGAGAGGAAGCCAGCUAUUAUUUAAUCAAUAGAAUUGCGUCAAUUGAGGAAAAUUUGUCUCCAGGAAAAACAAACGAAAGGUUGUUAUUUAAGAGACAGUGCUUAUUUGGACGUGCCAGGCACACACCCAGCCCACCCAUUCGCAAGCUCGAUGUUUAAAUGCUUGGCAUGUUCUUCAAACACGUUUAUUUCCUCUUGGAGCCAGGCUAGGUUUACGUUAGUCCAGAAGGAAGCCCACGAAUGUGGAGGUCUGAUGGCCACUGGGCUUCAGGGAGCUCACAUCUCUCCACUGUUUGACCCUAACAUGGAGACCUGGAGGCCCCAGGAGAACUGGAGAAGCAAAGGAAGUGUAGCAGUUUUGGGGGAAUGAUACCAGAAGAACUGAGAAGACUGAGGAACACAUUCCUCAUCUAUGAUGUUCCAGACAAGCCCACUUCCCAUAAGUUGUUGCUGAUUGUGGUAUUUUGCCAAAAUGAGUUGAAAUUCAUUUUUUUCAGGCUAAAGGUGAGUGUAUAAAGCAAUUCAUGUGAACUGUUCUUUGUUCUUUGUGAUUGUACUGUCUGUGCAACUCAACAACUUUUGGGAUUCUGCCAUGUAAAACAUUUUACUGAGAGAGAGAGAGAGAGAGAAACGUGGGGGUGGAUUGCACAUCAAUUUGUGCCAGCAUUUCUCUCUAACAAGAUCAUUAAA